AAUUACCUCAGUUUUCGUUUUUCCGUGUCUAACGUUUGACCAUUCGUCUUAUUUGAAAAUUUUGUACAAAAACUUAAAAAAAUUAAUCACAUAUAAAGUACUAUUCAUAUUUUAUCAUCUAGUAACAAUAAAAAUAUUAAUCGCAAAAAAAUUUCAAAUAAGACGAAUGGUCGACACGGAAAAACGAAAAAUGAGGUUAUU
rfam:Oryza brachyantha chromosome 2, whole genome shotgun sequence.